GACGAACGCUGGCGGCGUGCCUAAUACAUGCAAGUAGAACGCACAGUUUAUACCGUAGCUUGCUACACCAUAAACUGUGAGUUGCGAACGGGUGAGUAACGCGUAGGUAACCUGCCUGGUAGCGGGGGAUAACUAGUGGAAACGAUAGCUAAUACCGCAUAAUAUUGAUUAUUGCAUGAUAAUUGAUUGAAAGAUGCUAUUGCAUCACUACCAGAUGGACCUGCGUUGUAUUAGCUAGUAGGUGAGGUAACGGCUCACCUAGGCGACGAUACAUAGCCGACCUGAGAGGGUGGUCGGCCACACUGGGACUGAGACACGGCCCAGACUCCUACGGGAGGCAGCAGUAGGGAAUCGUCGGCAAUGGACGGAAGUCUGACCGAGCAACGCCGCGUGAGUGAAGAAGGUUUUCGGAUCGUAAAGCUCUGUUGUAAGAGAAGAACGGGUGUGAGAGUGGAAAGUUCACACUGUGACGGUAUCUUACCAGAAAGGGACGGCUAACUACGUG
rnacentral:rRNA from 1 species